GCCUUCGCCAAUUUGGCAGAAGAAAUAGCUAUUGCUAUUUCUCUUGGGCUAGACAAAUUGAAGGGGCCGGCUCCUCUUUUGCUAGGGCGACAGAGAUAGAGAAGAGAACGGCGGCAAGGGGUGACCAAUGAACCAGAAACUACGGUGCCAUCUCCCACCUCUCUGGCCUACUCUGCUGUUUGUAGUCCACCUCUCUCUCUAUACUGUACUGCUUUUCAAUGUGGGCCUUGCUUUUCCCAUCCAUUCUCAUGGCUGAUCUGAUCGGUAUCUUGUUGGGGACUCUCUGAAGUCUGUGAAUGAGAAAUCUUUAGGACAUAUGGAUGUGAGUGGAUUCUGAUGUUGAAAAAUUGAUCAAGAAUCAGAAAGCGGUGGCCUUUUGUGCAGCUCGAGCCAAAGCAAUGAACUAACGGAUUUGAGUGGGAUCUGAUUUUGGAAAAUAGUGGCCUCCAGUUGUUGGAGUUGCCAUUUAGCUCUACGAUCAGGUUUAAUUUUAGGUUUAAUAUUGAUAACUAUCAAUGGAAGUCUCUCAAUCAUCAACCAAGCGGGGAAAGGCAUUCACGCCAGAUCAAGAUAUAGCAACUUGCAAUGCUUGGUUGAGCAUCACCCAAGAUCCAAUUGUUGGUAACUCGCAAUCACAAAGUAAGUUUUGGAACCGGGUAUUCCAAAAUUAUCUUGAUCAUAACAACGACGAAAAUGGUAGAACACAAGUUUCUAUCCAAUCUCGUUGGGGCAUAAUCAUAAAGUGUUGCAGUAAAUAUAGUGGGUGCCAAGGAAAAAAAGAAAGAAGAAAAGAUUAUGAUGAUGGACCUUUCCAACAUGGACCCUCAAGCGAAAGUUUAUUACCAGCUGCGCAAGAAUGAGAUUCUUGCCAAACUACAAGCACGCUCAACAAACUUUGAUUAUUAUGUUCCUUUUCCCCCAUGUCCACCAUGAAGGACAGGUAAAGUUUAGCACUUUCUAGGAAUAUGCUAUUUUGGUUUGUUCCUCGUAUAAAGUUUAGCAGUUUCUAGAAAUAUGCUAUUUUGGUUUGUCCCCUAUAUGAAGUUUAGGACUAUUUUGCAAUAUGUUAUUUUGCUUUGUUCCCUGUAUAAAGUAGUAUGUUUGACAAUGAAAGUAAAGGCAAUGGACUGUGUUGUCGAAACUUUUUUUUGUUGUACUUCAUGAAAGCAUCUAUUUUCAUAAUUUGGUUUGUUCUA